rnacentral:lncRNA from 1 species
UUCUUUUCUUGUCGUGGAAUUGCAAUUGCAGUUGAAUAUUUUUGGAAGCUUGGCAACAGAAACAUCACUGUAUUUGUCCCUCAGUGGAGAACAAGGCGUGAUCCUAAUGUCACAGAACAGCACUUCUUAACCCAGCUCCAGGAGCUCGGAAUAUUAUCUUUAACUCCUGCCCGGAUGGUCUUUGGAGAAAGAAUUGCUUCUCAUGAUGACAGGUUUCUACUACACUUAGCGGACAAAACUGGUGGCAUAAUUGUGACAAAUGAUAAUUUCAGAGAAUUUGUGAAUGAGUCAGUCUCUUGGAGAGAAAUUAUUACAAAAAGGUAAUAUUUUCUUCUUUGUCUUUGGUCAGAAAAGUUUUGUUUUUAAUUGUUUGUUUCUGUGUGCAUUUUGUUCGUUUUGUUUUCUAUAUUCCUUGGCUCCACAGAAGGCAAUAUAGGGGACCAAAGUAUCAUAAGACUGUGCUGCACUCCCACUUCAUAGGUGGCUGGCCCCUCCAGGUAAGCGGGGGCCCAGCACAGAGCAGCAGAGCUGGCAGUGAUGAGUGUGGGCAUGCUCUGCUGUCACUGCAGUCUUCUAGGGCAUCAGAGUUUUGUUGCAUGAAGCAGGAGGUACAGUUAAGUGUGAUGGAGCACAAACGGCCUCCUAUUUUACUCAGCUGUGAAGUGAAAGGGUGAACUUGAUGACAACUGGGAUUCCAGCAAGAGGAAAGGACCGAAAGCAAUGUGUGCUGACUGGGCUUUCACUUCUUCAUGGUCUGGAGAGAAUAUUUCCACUUUUUAAUAUCUGAUGCUUUUCUGGAGGUUUUUACAGUCAUAGUUUAAUAAUCUAUAUUGAAAACAUCUUUAGAUAUCAUCCAAAAUAAAACAAAGUUAUGUCAAGAGUUUAGCAUUCACUGCUGUUUUUCAUUUGUAAUAAUACUAUGAAUGUGUCCACUGCUGAAAAAUGCCCUAAGAUCAGUGGGCACUGGCUUCUAGGACUUUUGGUUAACCAGUAUCACCUGACCAGUUAUUUAAAAUAGAAAGCAAGAGUCUGAUAGUGCCAGGGACAAGUGAUAUAGACCAGAAAUCUUAAAACAUAAAGUAAGCAUGCCCCACACUAAGUAUAACUAAUAUAUAGUAAAACUUGCAAUAUAGUUAGCAUAACUAGAUAUUUAUCCCUGUUGGGAUUUCACAGUUGCACCUUGCCUGUUAUUUAUAUUUUCCUAAAUUAUUAGAAGAUUUUAGAAAAAGAUUCUGUGUUAUGAAUGCCCAGGUGAGAGUUAAUUACUGUAUGCAUUUUGACACCUAUGCUGUUAAAAAGCUGUUGUUGAUAGCUGAACCAAGAAUUGGUCUUUGACCUUCUGGGCACAGUUAAUGAGCUACUAAUCUUGUAGGGCAUGUUUCUGUUGGACCUCUGCCUGGGCUCAUUGUCAGUAUUUAUUGACACUCAUCCAUGUAUGCAUGGAGGGUUUAAAUGCAGUCAAGACUGGUGUUCUCCAGCCAAGCUGUUGCUUUCAGCAUUCACAAAAACAAGGUAGAAAGGAGACCUGGACAACAAGCACAGGCACUUGGACUUUUAAAAAUUAUUUUAUUUUCUGUUUUCCCCUGAUAUGAUAAAUAGUGGUCUAAAGACCUCAGAUUUCCUUUAUUCAUAUAUGGUUUUCCUUUUUAAAAAUAUUAUUUUCAGUGGAUUUGCUUAUGGACACAUUUAUUACCAGUUUUAUUCAAAAAUUAAACAUUUGUUCAGCAUUUGUGUCCUAAGCUGACAGUCUUUAAAUCUUAUUUUUCAAAGUUAUAUUGAAAGUUAUAUUAGAAGAAGAAGCGGCUUCCUAAGCCCAGUACAAAUCUGCAAGUCUUAAUGAGAAAUUUGAGGGCCAGCUGAUAAAACGUUCUGACUAUUGUUUUUGUGUCCAAAACAGAAAUUAAAAGGGUUUGACUUGGGUGUUUUCCCCGCUUUUAGGCAGUUGAGCAGUCUUAGGAUUUGUAGGCUGACCUGACCGUUGCUUUGGCAUCAGGUGGCUGCUUUGGGAUCCUUACGCAGGCCCUGGGCAGUGAGGACCCUGUCUCUCAGCCUCAUGGUGUUCUGUGUUGUAGGCUGCUGCAGUACACGUUCGUGGGGGACAUAUUUAUGGUUCCCGAUGAUCCUCUGGGAAGAAGUGGACCUCGAUUAGAGGAGUUUCUUCAGAAGGAAGUCUGUCUUAGAGAUAUGCAGCCCCUACUCAGUGCCCUGCCAAAUGUGGGCAUGUUUGACCCCAGCUUCAGAGUCCCUGGCACCCAGGCAGCCAGCACCAGCCACCAGC